ACCUGCGAGGAUUGGUUUACCCCUCUGUCCAUGCACUGUUUAUAGGGGCUGCAAUGGAAAAAAGGAUUCUUGCUUUAAAUCGUAUGAGGCAACGCUGGAGCGAUUUCACUGCGUUCCUUCCUCUUUUUAGUGGAUAACUUUGCCCUCCCCUCUCCCAACCCCUGCAAACUUACUAAAAGAAAUGCAUCAAAAUGCAGCUCCCAGACGUUCUCUCUCCAGAGCGAUCUUACCUGAAAACGUGAAGUGAAAAUGGAUGUCAGCACAAUGGCAGCUCGACAAUCUUCAUAAAAUUAUUUUCAGAUCA